AAGAAAGGUGGGUUUAAAGUACCCAGUAAAAUGCAAAGCUCUUUAUGAUUUACAGUCUUAUCACAAUAAGGGUAGGUGUUAUCCACGUUCUGCAGAUGAAGUGGGAUCGCAUCCAGGCAAAGUGACUUGCCAAGGUUACACCACGGUUCUGAAGACUAGAAGUACAAAAUCGGUCUCACUGGGCGAAAAUCAAGGUG